rnacentral:rRNA from 1 species
AACGAUGAUUACUAGUUGUUUGUGAUAUAUUAUAAGUGACUAAGCGAAAGCGAUAAGUAAUCCACCUGGGGAGUACGCCGGCAACGGUGAAACUCAAAGGAAUUGACGGGGGCCCGCACAAGCGGAGGAACAUGUGGUUUAAUUCGAUGAUACGCGAGGAACCUUACCCGGGCUUGAAAUGUAGAGGAAUAACGAAGAAAUUUGUUAGCCAGCAAUGGUCUCUAUGUAGGUGCUGCAUGGCUGUCGUCAG